CCAAUGUUAAUUAUGUGGUGUCAUAAAGAUCUGAUGAUCGAAAUAUUUUGAUUAAGUGAGGAGAAAGGCGAGGAGAAAAAGAGACGGUGAAGAAACAUUUCAAUAAUUGUUACACCUACCAAGGAGAGAAAGUAAGCAAAUGAAAUCUAUGAUGAAAGAUGUUGAUAGCAUUAGAGGACAAGUAUAGUCAACACAAUAUUGUAUUGAUAAAUAAGGGACUGACAAAGAAGUAGAGUAACGACGAAAACAACAAUACAGAAGACAAAUAAUUUUUGGAACAAGACUGAGGAAGGUGUAAUAGUCGAAAAAUCCGAUAUAGAUGUUAAAGGCUUCGUCAUCGUAUUUGUCUUACAUAUUGAUGACGGAGAUUUUGUAAUCUACGAAGAGACAGUCAUUACGUAUAGAUAAGCGAUAAUACUAAAUAAGAAAAAUGCGAUGGGGAAUGUGAAUUCCAUUGUCUUGAAAGCUGCUAACAAUCGGAACUUUCAUUGAAUUUUCCGAAGCAAAGCUUUAAAAUCUUAAAUAUUCUUAGCAAAUAUGGCCAAUUGACUCAAAUAAAUUGUUUAUAUCGAUAGAAAUGAAAUGAAAAUAUUACUCGUAAAUUCAAUACUCCUACAUUACCACUUGUACUGAAUAUUUCAUCACGAAUAGCAAUAAUAGCAAUAAUAGUAGGGAGGAAAUAAUACAACUGAUGGCACUCGACCUCAUCGAUAGAACUACUGCGUUAUCCAAUCCGAUGUAAUUGUCCAAAAAUUAUAUGAAUGUUUAUGGACUAUCAAGCAGUAAAUACAAAAACAAGUCGAUAGACUGGGAAAUAUGAGGUAUUGUAGUAUAUUUGACUCAAACAGCGGAUAUUAUCAAGGACCGAUGGUUGAAUGUUGUUAGAAUGUUACUAUGUUCGGCAUACUUGACAAACGUCUCAUUAGAAUAUAGUGUGGGCUUUAGAAUGCUCCUGCCUUUUUACAAUGAAUGUUGAUGUCGUUUUAGAUAACCUUCGGUACGUUAUUACAAUUGCAUAUUUUGACGAUAUCAAUAUCUUCUGAAAUAAUAUCGAAGAGGAAAUAGAUGACCUCAUACAAUAUUCGUUAUGUUACACCAUGAUCGACAUUAUUAAUGAUCGCUUUAUGAGAAUCGCUUCUUUUGCAAAGGACAGGACACUUCUGAUACCAUCAAGUGAUUUUAGAAAUAUCGAAUCAAGAUUUUUAUUAUUUAUAGGCGUAAAAAUCUACCUAAUUAAAUUUAGCAUUACAAAAUCUGUAACAUUAAUUGAUGUUUCGAAAAACAGAUUUAAAAAUCUCUUUUUCUAAAAGUUUUUGAAUUUAUCAAUUUAAAUUAAAAUUGGCGCUAUCAGUCGAAAUGAUAGUGAUAUAAUGAUUAUCAUUAAUAACAAUAAACUGAUCUUUCAUAUCGAAGUAACGAGACUGCAGAAAAUAGCAGUUCAUCUCCAAAUAAUAUGUAUAACAUGUGGAUGAGUAUAUUCAGAUGUGUAUUUUAUUAUGUCAGUGGGUAGUCAUAGUAGAGAAGGUAAAGUAGUUAAGAGUGUAAUUUGAAGUGUAGUUAGAUCGGAAAUAGAAAUGUAUAUUUUGUAGGUUUUUGAAAAAUAUCCACAGAAAACAAUUGUGUGAGAGAAAGCAAGUAUAGGGUGUUUUAUGGUGUUGUUGGGGUAUCCGAGUUUAAUAAUUUUAAGAUAUG